AUGGAGGUGGAUCCGGGUUCAGAUGAUGUAGAAGCUGACAGAGAAACGAGAGCUCAGAAACUAAAAUUAAAGUUUUCAGAAGAAAUGUCAAAUUCCGUGCACAAAUGAGAAGAUUCGACGAGUACUGUGGAGUGACUAAUUUAACAGUAGAUGAUCUCAAUUGGCCUUUAAUAUCUGGAAUUCCUUUACAAAGACAACGAUUGACAGGAGCUACGUAUUAUGAUGAUAGUCUUCUCGAUCAAAAUCCUUGGGAUGAAUUUUCAAUUGAUCGAUUUCUUGAAAUUACUUCAAUUCAAUUAAUAACAGCCGGUGCUGGAUAUGAAAGGAAUGAUGAAAUUACUCGAUUCGUUUUUCAAAGAACAAUGAAGACAAUUGUAACUUAUUGCAAUUUUAUGUAUGAUUUGGCAAGGCGGAACGGGAAAGUUCAAAUAACUCGAUUCGAGUUGCAAGAUUUGAUUCAUCGCGAUGAAUUUCGGUUUUACAUGUAUUUUCGACAAUUUUUACCCAAUCCGGAUCCGAAUUGUACGGCCUUUUCCAAUCACUACACGUCUCUUCUUCAUACACUCUAUUUCAAUAUUCCGGGAAUGCCACAGUUUUGGAACAAUUCCCAAAUGUAUAAUUACGCUGCUACCCGUGGUCAACGCCUUGUUCAAAAUAUCGCCGCUUUUUAUCCACCCGAAUAUUUUUGGAACGAAGAUGAAUCCAAGUAUCAUACUACGUUUGUGGUUCCACGUGGCACAGAGUUCUCAAAGUUUUAUGCUCGAAGAUUUCAUGAAGCACUUGGAAUGCCACCACUGGAAAAUGAGAUUAUUACGGUUUUGGAUUGGCUUGCGAAGCUCUGCAUUUUGGAAAUUGUAUAUCACACAACGAUUUGGUGCGACAUAACUGGAUUUGGAGGGCUUCCACGUAUUGAGCACUAUCGUUUAGCCAUGGAGAAUGUUGAAGACAUCAUAUUCGACUUGGCAAUUGAUGAUUUCUCAAUUUCCCGUCUACAGUUACAAAUUUCGCCGUUUGAAAUCUCUCGCUACUCACCUCUAGAUGUAUCUGGUUAUUAUGAAACAAUUAAAAGAAAAAAAGAUAUUGAAGAAUAUCAAAAUCGUUUCUAUGAAGUUCAUUAUUCUGAUGAUGUUCGGAUUAUGAAUGUUUAUGCUACUGAUUGCUCCAGGAAACGAUGA
rnacentral:misc_RNA from 1 species